rnacentral:rRNA from 1 species
UACGUAGGGGGCAAGCGUUGUCCGGAUUUAUUGGGCGUAAAGAGCGUGUAGGCGGCCAGGUAGGUCUGCUGUGAAAACUCGAGGCUUAACCUCGAGAUGUCGGCGGAAACCAUCUGGCUAGAGUCCGGAAGAGGAGAAUGGAAUUCCCGGUGUAGCGGUGAAAUGCGCAGAUAUCGGGAAGAACACCCGUGGCGAAGGCGGCUCUCUGGUACGGAACUGACGCUGAGACGCGAAAGCGUGGGGAGCGAACAGG